AGAGUUUGAUCAUGGCUCAGGAUGAACGCUGGCGGCGUGCUUAACACAUGCAAGUCGAACGAUGAUGCCUAGCUUGCUAGGUGGAUUAGUGGCGAACGGGUGAGUAACACGUGAGUAACCUGCCCCUGACUCUGGGAUAAGCCUGAGAAAUUGGGUCUAAUACUGGAUAUGAACAUUUACCGCAUGGUGGGUGUUGGAAAGAUUUUUGGUGGGAUGGACUCGCGGCCUAUCAGCUUGUUGGUGAGGUAGUGGCUCACCAAGGCGACGACGGGUAGCCGGCCUGAGAGGGCGACCGGCCACACUGGGACUGAGACACGGCCCAGACUCCUACGGGAGGCAGCAGUGGGGAAUAUUGCACAAUGGGCGCAAGCCUGAUGCAGCGACGCCGCGUGAGGGAUGACGGCCUUCGGGUUGUAAACCUCUUUCAGCAGGGAAGAAGCGAAAGUGACGGUACCUGCAGAAGAAGCACCGGCUAACUACGUGCCAGCCGCCGCGGUAAUA
rnacentral:rRNA from 1 species